rnacentral:lncRNA from 1 species
GUAUGUACACGGCUGUGUAAUACACUAUGAUGAUGGUUUUUUUAACUAUGACGGCGGUUUCACCUUCGUUUAUCGUUGUUAUAGUCCAAAAAAUCUGUUGUCAUAGUCCUUAUAGCCCUAUAUAUAUAUAUAUAUCUUUAAUAUUAUAUUAAUACUAUACUGCAUGGUGAGACUAUGUUGAAUAUGAUGUGUAUUUCUUCACUUUAAAACUAGUUUUCUGUGCUAAAAGCUAAUCCCUUAUAACCAAUACUUUAUUGUUGAUCCGUAUAUUCAUCUGUUCUAAGUUCUCGGUUUCUUUUAUGAGCAAUCAUUGUCUGAUAUGGCGUAUUGGGUUAAAAUUUGUUUAUCGUAUAGUCUUGGUUAAUAACAUAAAUAUUGAACUACCAUAUCUUGUGUAUUUAUCUGAUGAUAUUGCACUCUGUUGUCAAUCGUUGAUUGAGAUACUGGGACUAUACUGUUGAAAUGUUUUUACUAUGUUUUUCAAAACUGUUUUUGAAUACACUAAGAGUUGGUCAAAUUUUUUAUUAAUGUUUUUGACUUAUUAAAGAGUUCAGACACUAUUUACUGAAUAUUACUGUAUUGUUUAAAUAUUUCUUGGAAAAUGAAUAAACAGUGAGAAAUAUGGUCUCUUCUCUUGCAAGUUAUUAUAUGCAUUUACUGAUGAAAUCUUUAUUCUUGUACCGUGUGUAUUUUGCUUCGUCAGUCACUCUAUAUCUUGAUCUUAUUUAUUGGGCUGACAUCUAUGAUUACCUACCUUUUCUAUAUAUUAACAUUGCUAAAACAUGAUGCAUUCAUUUUUAGUCUCACUCUUAUCUUAUCUGUUACAUAUUCCUAUCUACUCUUUAUGUGUUCACCAUGGACCCUGUCUAUUCUUCAAAAAGGAAACAACUUGCACUUCAUUCUGAGAUAAAUCCCUCAGGAUGUGUACCUCAUCUAGUCACACCAUGUGCACAAGCUAAGUAUCGUCUAAUGAGGCAUAACCUCACACUAGGCAUAGGAAUUGCAUUUUGUAGUUUCCUCGACUUGAACGUUUCAAAGCCAUAUGUUGGGAAUGUCUUGUUGUAUACGGAUAGACACAUAUCUUAGUCUAAUUGCUGAAUUUUACACUCUUAGAUAUCCCACUAGUCUCUUAACAAGUAUGAGUUCAUGCAGUCAAGGUAAAAACUUUGUCAUUGAUGAAAAUCUUCUGGUUCAUGCAUUACAUAUCUUCAUCCAACCAUGUUAGAACUUCUUAGAAUAAAUUAAGUGUUUUUACUGCUUUUUCUCAAAAAAACUUUCAUUACGUAUUUCAUCCCGCCUUCUCAAAUAAAUGUUAUGAUGUAAUUUGAAAUUCUCAAAAAAGUACAUUUAUUAGCAUUUUUCUGCGUUUUAUGAAUAAUGACUUUUUCGUCUUUUUCUCAAAUUUUUUUUAUUUCCUUAUACCAUCCUAAAACUCCUUAAUUCUAUCACCAAAACAUGUUCCAUCAUAAAAAUUCAACUCUUAACACAUAAAACAGAAUAAUAUUCAUAAAAUCUUAUUUUAUUUAAUAAUAUUCUAAAAUACUUAAUUUACAAACUAAGUAGAAUUUAUGGGUCGUCACAUGAUCUUUGAUUCUAUUUGCUUAUCUUAGAAGUACAUUUUUAUUAAAUUUUUUGUAAAAAGGGAAAAAUGUAGUUAGUUUAUUUUAUGUAUAUGUGAGAAAGAUGAAUAAUUUUUUGAGCAAAACCAGAGUCUUAGAUAUGUCAGCUGAGAGUUGGAUCUCUAGUGUACUUGUUAAGUGAGGAAGAGACUGUUGUUUUAAGAUCAGAACAUAAAAUUGAACUGAAGUCAAAAGAAAGUACAACUAAGCUUGAAAAGGGAGUUGGAAGUUUACUGUGUAAGAUAGUUAGUUGAAUUGUUGUAAGUUUAUUUAUAAAACUUUAUAAAGACUUUUUUUGCUUGUUGAAGGAGUUUUUAUUACAUAAAGUAAUAGGAUUUCAAGUCUUGGAGAGGAGCUUAAUUAAGACUGAACGUAGCAACAUAUUUGGGAUAUAUGUUGUGAACCAGACAAAUCUGUGUAUUGUGAUUGAUUUUUUUAUUAUCUUACAUAUUAAUUAUAUUUUGCAAAUUAAUUAAUUCAAAAAUAAAUUCAAAAUGGCUUAAGAUAAAUUUUAAACCGUAAUAAUUUAUUCAACCCUCUUUUUAGAUUAUUAUUGGAUUUUCAUAAAUCAUUGACCCAAUAGUAUCAUAAAUUUUCUCACUUAAAUUUUUGACGUUUCUGUCAGAACCGAUCAUACUGGCUGACUUUGUGUCACCACUUUCGGACCUCUUUCUCUCCAUUGUGGGAUAAUAUCACCAGUCCUCGUGUUUUCACCUUUAGCAACUCAAUCCCGAGCUUUCGAGAGUCGACUCUGAUGCCAUAUGAAACAAAGCCGGGUCAAAUCCCGAGUUCGAAAUAAAUUUCGAGUUUGAAUCGAAUAAAAUCCAUCCAAAUAAGGCAUUAAAUCACUGGUCAAAUAUUUUUGGGUCAUCUUAGUCAGUGGCGGAAUCAGAAGACUUUUAUAGGGGGGUCAAAAUACAUUAAUAAAAAAAAAUUAUUUAUUAACGCUUAGAGUGCUUCUUUUAAAUUCAUUUUGAACAAUUAUAAUUGUCUAGCCUAAUUAUAUAAUAUUGCACACCUCAAGACUAGGCAAAUAAAAACGCCAUAAAAUUAC